rnacentral:rRNA from 1 species
AGCGAACGCUGGCGGCAGGCUUAACACAUGCAAGUCGAACGAACACUUCCGGGUUAGUGGCGGACGGGGGAGAACCACGUGGGAACGCGCCUUUAGGUUCGCAAUCAUUCAGGGUAACUUGUCCUAAUACUGAAUGUGCCCUUCGCGGGUAUGAUUAAUAGCCGUUAGAGCGGCGAGGGUCCGAUUAGCUAGUUGGUUAGGGUAAUGGCUCAUCAAGGCGUGGAUCAGUAGCUGGUCAGAGAGUAUGAUCUGCCACGUUUGAACUAAGACACAGCCCACACUCCUACGGAAGGGAGGAGAGGAUAAUCUAGCGCAAUGGAGGAAAGCCUGACGCAGCCAUGCCGCGGAAAUGAUGAAGGUCGUAGUAAAGUGAAAUUCUUUCACCGGAGACGAUAAUGACGGUACCCGGAGAAGAAGCCCCGGCUAACUACGUG